rnacentral:rRNA from 2 species
CMAGACUCCUACGGGAGGCAGCMGUASGGAAUCUUMCGCAAUGRACGAAAGUCUGACGGAGCAACGCCGCGUGAGUGAUGAAAGGUUUUCGGAUCGUAAAGCUCUGUUGUUAGGGAAGAACAAGUGCAAGAGUAACUGCUUGCACCUUGACGGUACCUAACCAGAAAGCCACGGCUAACUACGUGCCAGCAGCCGCGGUAAUACGUAGGUGGCAAGCGUUGUCCGGAAUUAUUGGGCGUAAAGGGCUCGCAGGCGGUUUCUUAAGUCUGAUGUGAAAGCCCCCGGCUCAACCGGGGAGGGUCAUUGGAAACUGGGAAACUUGAGUGCAGAAGAGGAGAGUGGAAUUCCACGUGUAGCGGUGAAAUGCGUAGAGAUGUGGAGGAACACCAGUGGCGAAGGCGACUCUCUGGUCUGUAACUGACGCUGAGGAGCGAAAGCGUGGGGAGCGAACAGGAUUAGAUACCCUGGUAGUCCACGCCGUAAACGAUGAGUGCUAAGUGUUAGGGGGUUUCCGCCCCUUAGUGCUGCAGCUAACGCAUUAAGCACUCCGCCUGGGGAGUACGGUCGCAAGACUGAAACUCAAAGGAAUUGACGGGGGCCCGCACAAGCGGUGGAGCAUGUGGUUUAAUUCGAAGCAACGCGAAGAACCUUACCAGGUCUUGACAUCCUCUGACAACCCUAGAGAUAGGGYUUUCCCUUCGGGGACAGAGUGACAGGUGGUGCAUGGWUGUCGUCAGCUCGUGUCGUGAGAUGUUGGGUUAAGUCCCGCAACGAGCGCAACCCWUGAUCUUAGUUGCCAGCAUUYAGUUGGKCACUCUAAGSUGACUGCCGGUGACAAACCGGAGRARGGUKGG